rnacentral:rRNA from 1 species
AGAGUUUGAUCAUGGCUCAGAACGAACGCUGGCGGCAUGCCUAACACAUGCAAGUCGAACGCUCUCGGGGCUUCGGUCUCGGGGGAGUGGCGCACGGGUGAGUAGCGCGUGGGAACCUGCCCUGUUGUGGGGGGAUAACCGAGGGAAACUUCGGCUAAUACCGCAUGCGCCCCGGGCCUGGUCUUCGGAUUAGGUCUGGGGGAAAGAUUUAUCGCAGCAGGAGGGGCCCGCGUCGGAUUAGGUAGUUGGUGGGGUAACGGCCUACCAAGCCGGUGAUCCGUAGCUGGUCUGAGAGGAUGAUCAGCCACACUGGGACUGAGACACGGCCCAGACUCCUACGGGAGGCAGCAGUGGGGAAUAUUGGACAAUGGGCGCAAGCCUGAUCCAGCAAUGCCGCGUGAGUGAUGAAGGCCUUCGGGUUGUAAAGCUCUUUCGCCCGCGACGAUGAUGACGGUAGCGGGAGAAGAAGCCCCGGCUAACUUCGUGCCAGCAGCCGCGGUAAUACGAAGGGGGCGAGCGUUGUUCGGAAUCACUGGGCGUAAAGGGCGCGUAGGCGGCCCUCUUAGUCGCGUGUGAAAGCCCCGGGCUCAACCUGGGAACGGCGCGCGAAACGGGAGGGCUGGAGUUCGGGAGAGGAGAGUGGAAUUCCCAGUGUAGAGGUGAAAUUCGUAGAUAUUGGGAAGAACACCGGUGGCGAAGGCGGCUCUCUGGACCGAGACUGACGCUGAGGCGCGAAAGCGUGGGGAGCAAACAGGAUUAGAUACCCUAGUAGUCC